UAUUUGAUGUCUGCUAUUCCUGACUUGAGUCACUUGGAUUCCUUGUACACGAUGUGUUGGUUUUUUUCAUGGACCUGUAAUAAACCACAUCGUUGUUAAAUAUCAGAUGUGAAAUCCAAAGGAAAUCAAGAAAGAUGAAUAUAAUGAGUUCUACAAAAAGGUAUUCAAUGAGUUCCUGGAUCCUCUUGCUUACACCCACGUCACCAGAGGUAUUUUGUAACUAAAUAUAUCUUGAGAGAUUCUGGAAAGCAGAACCAGAAUCAAUAUGCAGAUAAAUUUGACAUAAUUCUUUACUAAACAGGGUGAGGUGGAAUUUAGGAGUGUUCUAUAUAUACCUGGAAUGGCACCUCUAAAUGAGGAUAUUGUAAAUCCCAAGACAAAAUAUCCACUUGUACGUUAAGCGUGUUUUUAUUUUUGAUGACUUUCAUGGUGAACUGGUGAGCUUAAAAUAAAUCAUUUCUUGUUUGGAGAUAUAUGUAGUUGUAUUAUUUAUAAACACUUAAUAGUUUAUAUAUCUCAAUAUGCUGAUGAUUAGUCCAAAUUUUCAGUUUCCUCAGUACUUGAGUUUUGUAAAGGGUGUAGUUGAUUCAAAUGGCCUUGCAUGUCUCACGGGAGAUCUUUCAAGAAAGUCAAAUUGUAAGUUGUUUAUUUUUGAUAAAUUUCUCCCUGUUGACUACUUCUGUUGCUGUUAACAGGUAAGAAUUAUGCGAAAGAGACUUGUCAGUAAGACAUUUAACAUGAUUCAAGAAUUAUCUGAAAGCGAAGACAGAGGACUAUAAGAAGUUUUGGGAGAAUUUUGGCGAGCUUAUCAAAUUAGGAUGUAUUGAGGACUCUGGAAAUCACAAGCGGUCGACACCUUUGCUGCGCUUUUACUCUUCCAAGAGUGAGGAAGAAUAUUACUUGGCAUCAGACAGUCUUAAAUUUGCCAAGACUGCCCCAUUUCUGGAGAAAUUUAUCGAGAAGGGAUAUCGAAAUAUUGUAUCUUGUGGAACCUAUCGAUGAAGUUGCCAUACAGAAUCUUCAGACAUACAAAGAAAAGAAAUUUGUUGGCAUUGGCAAAGAUGAUUAUAUCUAUGUUUCAUGGAGCAACUUAUAUUCCUUCAUAUUUGUAGAUUAUCAACUCCAUCCACGCAGAGCUGAUCGAGAUAUCCAUUACAGGGGAUGGGGAUGAGGAUGAGGUGAAGGUAAGAGAAGAAAAGCAAGAAUACAAUCUACUGUGUGACUGGAUGAAGCAGCAGCUCGAUGACAAGGAAACAAAAGUCCAGGUUUCUAAGAGGCUUUGUUCCUCACCUUGUGUGCUUGUUUCUGGCAAGUUUGGCUGGUCAGCAAACAUGGAAGCACAUACGCUUGGUGAUACAUAAAGCUUGGAAUCCAUGGGGGGGAGAAGAAUCUUGGAAAUCAAUGCUGAACACCCUAUUGUAAAAGAUUUAAAUGCUGCUUGCAAGAACGAUCCAAGCAGCACGGAAGCAAGACUAAAGAGAGCUGUGGAUCUACUAUAUGACACAGCACUGAUAUUAUGAUUCAUGAUAAUUGGCCAUCAUUUUAAUUAUGUUUUUUUUUAUUUUCUAAGAGAGAAUUAGAAAGGAAAAGCCGCAACAAAGAAUUGUUUCACAUCCAAAAAACUGAUUUCCAAUGAAAAUUAUAUCAGGGUUUAAUUUUUAAA